rnacentral:rRNA from 1 species
GCAAUUCGGUAUAGGAUGGGCCCGCAUCUGAUUAGCCUAGUUGGUGAGAUAACAGCCCACCAAGGCGACGAUCAGUAGCCGACCUGAGAGGGUGAUCGGGCCACAUUGGGACUGAGACACGGCCCAGACUCCUACGGGAGGCAGCAGUGAGGAAUAUUGGUCAAUGGCCGUAAGGCUGAACCAGCCAAGUAGCGUGAAGGAUGAAGGUUCUAUGGAUUGUAAACUUCUUUUAUACGGGAAUAACACCAUCUACGUGUAGAUGUCUGCAUGUACCGUAUGAAUAAGCAUCGGCUAACUCCGUG